CGGAGCCGCCCAGGUCCCCCCGGGCGUCGAUGAAUGUGGGGUACCAUUCCUUGAUGAUGUGGUCAUGUUUGUAGUCGGCCUUAUUGUCCUUUAGAUGUUCCACGGUGUUCCGCUCGCUCUUCUCAUAGGCCUCCCGGGGCUUCCGGACAGACACCUUGCAUUCUCGGACCUUGUUGACGAUGAAUUCUUGGAUGAGAAACCUGAUAUCUUCCAUGAGAGAUAACUAAACAGCCAUAGGACAGUACAGAACAAAUGUGGGCAAAAGUCAAAUCUACAAAUGAUGAACUCUUCCCUUUAUAUCCAACCCAAUAGGCAGUCAUCAUAAAGAAGUCUGAAUAUCUUGGUUGAGAGCUAGACUUUGGAAACAGAGAGACCCUGUAUAAUAACAGACUAAGAAGUAAGGAAGACAAGCCCAGCCAGUCCCACAACUAUUUCAUUAAUACCAGGUAAAGCAACAGACCUGCCAGUGAAGCAUCUUGGAUCCUUUAGCUUUAGUAAUGUUCUUGUAGUAAUUUUGGAAGUCAAUACUUUCCUUAAGAAUACUAAAGUUUUCUUUUGGGAAAAGAGAAAAACUGAGGAGAGGAAACAAACUGCUCUUAUACCUUCUUCCAUGGUCUUUGGAUGAAGGUUAAGUUAUGGGCCCCAAAAGUGGGCUAGCCUCAUUUGGAUAAUACUCCAUCCUAAGCAGUAUGGUUUUGAAUAAGUUGCUGAGACUUUCUGUGCCUCCAUUUGUAAAUGGUAUAAUAAUACCUAGUUCAUGGAAUUGUUGUGAGAAUGACAUAAGUGAAAGUAUGUAUAUUUCCAUGUUCUAUAUAAACUGGUUUUCUACAAAUUACAAAGCAACAACUAACCAAGUUAAUUGAAAUCGAGUACUUUAUUCAAGUAAUAAAUAUCUGGUAUUUACAAAUCAAAAUUGAAAAUCAUAGUACAUAACGAAAAUUCAUAUAUACAGAUCAACAAAUAUAGUAAUUUAAAACACGGAAAUCUACUCCAGUCCUGUCCUGUGGAAACUAAUGGGAGUGCCAGGAGGCCUAACCAUCUGAGGUGAAUUGAAAAGAAAAAGCAGCGUGCUGAUUGCAGUGACUGGUGCAUGGAUCUCGAUGGCUACUCUGUACUGUAGGCAGUGAUGACACCCUGUUGAGGAGAUUGGUAGGAGCCAUAGCAACACAGGAGGCACAAUUUUAGGGAUGGUUUACAUUCCUAGCUGGAGUUUCCACAAAGCCCAGGUGCUUGCAUAGAGCCUUACCCUUGCCUAUAAACAACUACAUGGUUUAGUGUCCCCGUAAAAUUUCCCUAGAAUGGGAAAUAAUGUCAGGGCAGCAAUACA
rnacentral:lncRNA from 10 species